GACAGAGGUGCCAAGCGUUAGGCGGAAUCACUGGGCUUAAAGCGUGUGUAGGCGGACGCCUAAGUACCUUGUGAAAUCCCACGGCUCAACCGUGGAACUGCUUGGUAUACUGGGUGUCUCGAGCCACUUAGGGGUUACCGGAACAAACGGUGGAGCGGUGAAAUGCGUAGAUAUCGUUUGGAACGCCAAUGGUGAAAACAGGUAACUGGGAGUGCGCUGACGCUGAGACACGAAAGCCAGGGGAGCGAACGGG
rnacentral:rRNA from 1 species